rnacentral:rRNA from 1 species
AGAGUUUGAUCCUGGCUCAGAACGAACGCUGGCGGCAGGCUUAACACAUGCAAGUCGAACGGGCGUAGCAAUACGUCAGUGGCAGACGGGUGAGUAACACGUGGGAACCUUCCUAGGGGUACGGAACAACUCAGGGAAACUUGAGCUAAUACCGUAUACGUCCGUGAGGAGAAAGAUUUAUCGCCCUUAGACGGGCCCGCGUCGGAUUAGGUAGUUGGUGGGGUAACGGCCUACCAAGCCUACGAUCCGUAGCUGAUCUGAGAGGAUGAUCAGCCACACUGGGACUGAGACACGGCCCAGACUCCUACGGGAGGCAGCAGUGGGGAAUCUUGGACAAUGGGCGCAAGCCUGAUCCAGCCAUGCCGCGUGAGUGAAGAAGGCCUUAGGGUUGUAAAGCUCUUUUACCAGGGACGAUAAUGACGGUACCUGAGAAAAGGCCCGGU